GCGAAAGGUGCUUGCACCUUUCAAGCGAGUGGCGAACGGGUGAGUAACACGUGGAUAACCUGCCUCAAGGCUGGGGAUAACAUUUGGAAACAGAUGCUAAUACCGAAUAAAACUUAGUAUCGCAUGAUACAAAGUUGAAAGGCGCUACGGCGUCACCUAGAGAUGGGUCCGCGGUGCAUUAGUUAGUUGGUGGGGUAAAGGCCUACCAAGACAAUGAUGCAUAGCCGAGUUGAGAGACUGAUCGGCCACAUUGGGACUGAGACACGGCCCAAACUCCUACGGGAGGCUGCAGUAGGGAAUCUUCCACAAUGGGCGAAAGCCUGAUGGAGCAACGCCGCGUGUGUGAUGAAGGCUUUAGGGUCGUAAAGCACUGUUGUAUGGGAAGAAAUGCUAGAAUAGGGAAUGAUUCUAGUUCGACGGUACCAUACCAGAAAGGGACGGCUAAAUACGUGCCAGCAGCCGCGGUAAUACGUAUGUCCCGAGCGUUAUCCGGAUUUAUUGGGCGUAAAGCGAGCGCAGACGGUUGAUUAAGUCUGAUGUGAAAGCCCGGAGCUCAACUCCGGAAUGGCAUUGGAAACUGGUUAACUUGAGUGUUGUAGAGGUAAGUGGAACUCCAUGUGUAGCGGUGGAAUGCGUAGAUAUAUGGAAGAACACCAGUGGCGAAGGCGGCUUACUGGACAACAACUGACGUUGAGGCUCGAAAGUGUGGGUAGCAAACAGGAUUAGAUACCCUGGUAGUCCACACCGUAAACGAUGAAUACUAGGUGUUAGGAGGUUUCCGCCUCUUAGUGCCGAAGCUAACGCAUUAAGUAUUCCGCCUGGGGAGUACGACCGCAAGGUUGAAACUCAAAGGAAUUGACGGGGACCCGCACAAGCGGUGGAGCAUGUGGUUUAAUUCGAAGCAACGCGAGAACCCUUACCGGUCUUGACAUCCUUUGAAGCUUUUAGAGAUAGAAGUGUUCUUCUUCGGAGACAAAGUGACAGGUGGUGCAUGGUCGUCGUCAGCUCGUGUCGUGAGAUGUUGGGGUAAGUCCCGCACGAGCGCACCCUUAUGUAGUGCAGCAUCAGUGGGCACCUCUACGAGACUGCGUGACAACGGAGAGGCGGGACGACGUCGAUCAUCAUGCCCUUAAUGAACCUGG
rnacentral:rRNA from 1 species